rnacentral:rRNA from 1 species
GACGUAGGGGACGAGCGUUGUCCGGAUUCAUUGGGCGUAAAGCGCGCGUAGGCGGUCAUGCAAGUCCUCCGUUAAAUCCACCUGCUUAACAGAUGGGCUGCGGAGGAUACUACAAGGCUAGGAGGCGGAAGAGGCAAGCGGUACUCAGUGGGUAGGGGUAAAAUCCUCUGAUCCAUUGAAGACCACCAGUGGCGAAGGCGGCUUGCCAAUACGCGCUCGACGGUGAGGGAUGAAAGCUGGGGGAGCAAACCGG